rnacentral:lncRNA from 10 species
AAAAGAAUUGCCCAGUGGGGUAUGAAGGACACAAGAGUUCCUAUUCCCUGCUGAGAUUCCAGGAACUCAGGAGGUCAUUGUGUCCUGAAAUGUCCUAAAUGGCCACAAUCCCUGCUGGGUUCCCUCUGGUUUUCUCUUGAGUUGGAUUCCAUUCCCUCCCACUCUUCCUCUCCUGAGGGAGUCACAAGGAAUGGGCCAGCUGGAUGUAUGGAGGGAUUCAGCUUCAUUCAUGAUUCAGAGAUAGAGGGGUGGGGGCUUAGGUGGAUAUCAUUCCAUCCACACCUAUUAGACAGCCCAGAGGAGGGAAGGAAUGUGCCUGUCUGCUGUGUAGCAGAGUGUGUUGUGCACAGUGGAGCUGGGAGAACCUUAGUCCUCUCCAGCAAAGACCAUUCAGAGGUGCUCAGGAUGUAUUUGUAAGAAAAAAAAAAGACAGAAAGAAAGAAAAACAAAGACAAAGCCCCCCAAAAAACAAAAUAAUGAAAAACAUCUGUCCCUGGAUGAAAGCUGUCAAUCUCCUACAUGACAGGAGGGCUAGCUUUGGGAGAAGUGUCCCAAGCAGCAGGAAUGUGAACAGGUGAGGCUUCCAGCCCACAGGAGCCUGCAGAGAGUGUGCGAGACUGAAUUGGAAGGAUGCCCACAGUGUGGUUUUCUGUGCCUCUGUUGCCUUCUCAAGUCUCCUGAGUGACAUUCUGGGCUUAGGGCUUGGAGCCAUGUGGGUCAUCUAUCCAGGAGAGAGGUCACGGUUGAGAGCUGGAAAGGUAGCUUCCCAAAGUCAUCAAGGAUGCAGGCUUCUGUAUUGCUGUUUCACCAUCCUGAGUUUUGGCUUUCACCCUCCUGGAUACUUCAUGGUCUCUAGUGAGUGCUGAAACUAUGGACCCUGGACCCACUCUGAAGGGAGCAGAAGGAGCUGGUCUGCCCCCCUUUAACAAGUCUUCUCAUCAGUCUCAUUCAGCAUUUCUGAUUCCAUCCCAACCACCACAUGGGAGACACAUGGCCACACCUAGCUGCAAGAGAAGCCAGGAAAUAUAGCUUAUCUGUUACACAUAUUGUCCAGGUUUUUGUCCCUGAGGAAGAAGGGGAGGAUGGAUUUUGGAUGGCAGUUAGCAUCCUCUACCACCCAGUUGGAAGGCUCUUGUAAUAAUCCCAGGGAGAGGUAAUGUUGGCUUUUACCAGUUGGUAGUGGAACAGAUGGUGCAGGUGGUCAGAAUCUAUAAUAUUUUGAAGGUAAAUCUGACAGCAUUUGCUGAAAAAUUGUGUGUGUGUGAGAGAGAGACAGAGAGAGAGAGAGAGGAAUUUCUGCUAUGGAAUAAAUGUUUGUGCCCCCCUAAAAUUCAUAUUUUGAAGUUCUAAUCCCCAAUGUGAUGGUAUUUGGAGGUGGGGCCUUUGGGAACUGAUUAGGUCAUGAGAGUGGAGCCCCCAUGCAUGGGAUUAGUGCCCAUUAUGAGAAGAGACCUCAAAGAGAUGACUGUUUCUCUGCCAUGUGAAGAUACAACAAAAAAGGAGGCUGUUGUCUGCAAACCAGGAAGCAGUCCCUCACCAGACACUGAAUCUGCUGGCACUUUGAUCUUGGAUUUUCCUGCUUCUACAAUGGCGAGAAAUAAACGUUUGUUGUUUAAGCCACUCAGUCUACCGUAAUUUGUUAUAUCAGCCCAAGCUGAUAAGCUUUGACUAAGAUCAAAGGGAGGAUGAUGCCAGGUUUUUGGCCCGAGCAGCUACAAGAAUGGGGUUGCUAUGGACUGAACUGAGAAAGGCUCUUGAAGGAGCCCCGUUGGUGAGGGAGUGUUGUCUUGGCUGUGUGAAGUUUGAGAGGCUUAAUAGACAUCUUGGUGGAGCUUUAAAGCAGGCAGUUUGAUACAUAAGGCUAAAGUUCUGGGGGUGUUUCUGGGCUGGAUGAUGUUUACAGCCAAAAGAUUGCAUGGGACUACCUUGGGCAUGGUACAG